CCAUCCAGGUGCCUGUUGGUGUCCCAGCUGCUCCUCUUACGAUUCAGCUCUCUGCUAAUGACCUGAGAGAGCAGUAGAAGAUGGCCCAAGUGCUUGGGCCCCUGAACCCAUGUGGGAAAUCCAGAAGAAGCUCCUGGCUUCAGAUUGGUCCUGCUUCUGCUGUUGUGGCCACUGGGGGGUGAAUCGGCACAUGGAAAACCUCUGUCUCUCCCUCUCUCUGUCUGUAACUCUGCAUCUCAAAUAAAUAAAUACAUCUUUUUUAAAAAGUGUAAAUAAUCUAUUAAAGGUCUAUUUACCAUUGAUAAAAUAUAUACUUUAUAAGACCUUGGAAACACUUCAUCUGAAGCAAAAAGAGGUGUUAAGAAGAAAGGAUUAGAGAAUUAAGAAGAGACUUUAAACAAUGCAAUGAUAAGGUAAUCAGAAGAGGCAAGGGUUAAAUCCUGGCCCGAUUCCUGCCCUAGUAUUAAUUGCAAACAUUUUCCUACUCACCACCCAGUAGGAGUCAUUGCAGUGUCUCUGGAGCAAAUCACCAUGUGAGGGCCAGAACUUUGACACUUGUGACAAAUCGCACAGUGUAGAAUGUUUGCCGAGCAUUAAAAAGAGAAGUUGUAGUACACAAAUGCAGGACUAGUUAUUGGUUAUAUUUUCUAGGAAUCCGCCAUCCAAGAUUUGGUUUUAAAAGUAUCUUCAAGAACUUGAGGUUGUGCUUGGAAUUGGGUUGAUCUGUCUUCCUCUCAUUGUAAAGUCCCAUGAGGGGAGAUUGCUAACGUUACCAUGUGAGAUAUAGAUGGAGCUCUCACUGGGCAGAGACCUGGGAGUCUUAGAAAGAGACCAUGGUGACAAUUAACCAGGUGCUGGCCAAGGAGUUUUGUUGAGAGAAGGUUCAGGAGACAGGGCAGCUGGGAUCCCUGUGGUGGGCAGAGGCUGUGGGAGACUGUGUGGGUCUCAGACCUGAUCUUGACAGCUGUGGGAAACUCUCCUUGCUGAUCUUUGAGCUUGGACAUUCUGCUAAGCUGAGUUCUGUUCUGAUGCUCGUCCUUGGUGACAGGAGGUGGGAGUUGAACACACAUUGACUCCUUGCGCUCUCCUUGCUUCUCACAUGCUUUCCUCACCGCAUUAUUCUGGAGCAAGACGUGGAAUUGAAGCCACCCUUCAGUUCACACAAUCAAGGUGGCAGAGCUGUGAAAUACCUUGCAUUUAGAGGGGAAGGAGAUGUCAGUUUUCAUUUGGCUUCCUUGUUUUGCAGAGGAGGAAAUGGAGGUCAAGGGAAAUAUCCAGUAAACAAGAAGGGACCUUGUACUGGAGGACAGUUUUUCUGACUCACAGAUUGGUGUUGUUUUCGUUAACCGUACUAUGUCUCAGGAGACUGUGCAUGGUUCUCCACUAGUGGCCGGCCAGAGAAGGUUCCCUGCUGCAGCCGGCACGGUGGUGCCAUUGAGCAUGUUGGCACUCUGCACCCCCUGGAACUCUGCUAGCAAGAACCAAAGGCUCAGCCAAUGGAAGUCACCUGAUCGUGGACUUUGAGCCUCCAGAACUGUUUGGAGAGAGUAGAAUGAGUUGCUGGCCACAAAUGGAAUAUUACAGUUAGAAGUUUUCCAGAUGUGUGGGAGAGUUACAUGAGGAGCUACUGGAGACAACGAUGCGGUGCAAUAAGCAGAGGUGCUCCCAGGACUCAGCUACUCUGAAACAGUAUUCCUCUGUGCUUUUGUCUGAACCUACCUGGGACAGAUCCAACUGAAUCUGGCACUAGGAACCUGUGAUCAGCAAGAGAGAUGGAUGCUUUCUGAAUAGAGAGAAAUCUACAGAAAUGUGAGUAUUCUUUACAUGGCCAGAUAAACAGUAUAAAACACCAUGGAAAUGAAUGUGUAGCCAAUUCUGUAACCUCUGCAUUUGUUCAUCUAAAAUGUAUACAUGGCCAGACACUUGUGAUAAGCAUCAAGUUCUUAGGAUACUUUCUGUGAAGCACUCAGUUAUGGUAAAAACUCUCUUAGUAAGGUGAAUUUGUUGGGAACUUUUUCAACCUUGUAAAGAGAGAGCAUUGAUGAAAAACCUACCACUUACUUCGUAUAUAUGAUCAUGCCCAUGGGAUGUCCUUUGAAAUCUACAGAAUAGCUACUGGGACUAAUGAGUGAGGAUGGCAGGAAAAGGCCUGCCCGAUUGUUGCAUACCGUGCUAGACACUGGAAUUUUUUGUUAAAUGAUGGGAACCAAGGGAUGCUUCUAACCCCAGAGUGAAGGAUCUGGAUCUCAUUUGAGAAAGUUUCCUCUGACAGGUGAGUGUAGACUGGACUGACUCUUAAAGUUAGGGGGCAAAGUGGCUGAGAGAAUUCUUCAAUAGUUAAAAUGAUGAGGCACUGAAUGAUGAUGGGAUGGCCAGAGAGCAGAGAGUGAACCUGAGACUCAUUUAGGAGGCAAGAACAUCUGACUAGGAUGAAUAUGGGUGCAAGGGAGUAAGAGGAGUCAAGAACUGUGUUCAAGUUGUCUCAGCAUGUUUGAAACCGAGUUUGCAUCUGAGCAGUUUGAAAAUGCCCAGUGAAAACAAUGACAUUUAACACUGAGUUGAGAAAGAGAAAAUAAGCAAAAAUUGAAGUUGUGUUUGAUCAAAUGAACAGAAACAUAUCACUUUUUUUUUUAACUCAAACCCGCAGGCUAGGAUUAUACUCUGUCAAAUGUUUGCACUAAGUGAUUAUUUUCAUGGCCUCAUAUUUUUGGUGAGAGGUUUUUUUUUUUUUUUUUUUUUUUUUUUUACAUCUUCUUCACCCUCAUCAAAAGUGAUUUUAGAUUAGAAUGAUUACAUUCCACAAAGUUCCACUAACUAAAAAUUGUUGUGUUUUCUUUCAGUAGGUCUCUGGGAAGCAGCUCUAAGUUUGAACCAAUGGUAACCUACUCUGGAACUAAUGCUACUUUCUAAAGAUUAAGAUCCACAGUGACCUAAAGUUUGAACAUAAUAGUUUCACAUCUUAACUGUUUUCCUUUAUGUUUUCAAUUCCUUAAUCUAAAGUGUGAAAUAUUAGCAGUGUGGGAAAAGACUUUUGGGUGAAAAAUGUCUGUGCUUCCAGGAAAGCUUGCUGGUUUUCCUUUUCAUUCCUGUUCAUUUGGGAGUAGAUAUCAGUCCUUCUUGUUCUGUGGCUGUUAUUUGAGGGCAAAAAUACAAAUAGCCAAGAAUAUAUUUUAAAAACUGAAGAGCAUCAAGACGUCACAGCCUGAGUUGGCCAUAAAGAUUUACAAUUACAUUUCCAUCACAAAGACCCUGGCCCAUCAUAUUUGGCCAUCUCCAAUUAUGUUUUGAUUUCUGUUUCUUUGGCGGGACAACACCCCAAUUAGACAGAUGAGCGUUCAUUUCUGAUUUUGGAGCCCAUCCUGGCUGGCCUAGGUUACUCCAGGACUCCUGUGGUUUUUCUCAACUAAACUGUGCUGUGGUCAUUUUAUGAUCUUGCCCUCCGUGAAUCCUUUGCCUAUGAGAAACUCCCCAGGUUAAUACACUCACAGUAAUUUAAGCCUGAAUUUCCCAAACACUGACCAGGAUUUUUUCCCUGCACCCUCUAGGUUGUCACUUCUGAAUCCUCUUUAUUCUGUGCUAUGUAAAUUGAGUGGUGGUGAUGGAGGGAUAGGGGUUAUCAGGAAUUCGGUCCUCUCCCAAUAAAUGUAACAAUGGUCCAACUGCCUACUUUAGCUUCUGGUAGCAAACAGUAUUCUUUAAAAUAUUACAUUAGAGUCAAAGCUGGAGAAUUAUUAUUAUAGGAGCUAAGUUGUUACCGCAGAUUUUGGCUUGCACGGAAAAAGAGCCAUUUUCAUUUGGAACUCACUUAUUGCUAAUCCAAUAUAUAGCUCACCCUUCCACAAUUGUAUAUUAUGCUGUGUGUAGGUUCACUGUGUAUCUUCAGUGAAGGAAACACAAAAGGAGAAAUCACCAGAUUUCUGCUGCUAGCAAGAAAUGAUACGUACGCACAAACAGGGCUUCCCUAGUAUUUCCAACCACCCCAAGAAAAAAAAUUAAAAGUGACACCAUGGACAGAUUUUCCUUUCUUCAGGAUAAGAGCUGCAUUUCAUUACUCUAAAAACCCCCAUUCAUUUAAACAACACUCAAUGCUUCCUGGUCUGGAUAUAUAAAAUUAUUGGGUGGCCUCUGCUGGCCAUUCAUCUGAGACCCUGACAUGCCACAGUCGAUUUUUGAGAACUGCUCUGCCACUUAAUGUGACAAACAUCCAGCCUUGCCGUUUAAGAGAUCUUUGAGAAAGGCCAUCCCCACAUGAAAUGAAUUUAACAGCAGCAAUUUGUCAUUUUGCCCUUCCUUUGCUGGGGAAAAAAAAAUGCUAGUGAUUUCUUUUGACUUAAACUGGGCAUUCAAAAAGCUGUUUUUAUUAAUGAAUCAUAUUAAGCCACCAGUGAAAGGCUCCCUGACUCUGUUUAAAUAACAGGCUAUGAUUCCUCUCCCCUCGAGCUCCCCCCCACCCCCAUUUGGCUCUGCUGCUAUUAAUUGAGGAGUUUCUUUGUUUCUUUCCUAAUGAAGCCCACAGAACACAUCUGUCAGGUGCCCGUAUUCUUUGCCUGUCUAUAGUAUGUAAUAGACCAGCUGGAGGCUAUAAUGCUACACAAUACCCCUGGCCGUUACAGCAACUAUUUAUUCCUGGGCUUUUCCUCCGAAAGGGAUUUGAAAAAAAAAAAAGUCUGAAAUUUGGGCCUAAUUGCUAUUUACCCAGCGAUAGACACCUGUUCUAGCUGAGACAUUGGCUCAUGAAUCCCACACCUGAGACCUUAGGGAGAGUGGAGGGGAAAUUUCAAGCAGCUGCCAGUCCAUUAGAUGUAGAGAGCUUUAACUUUCAGGGUUUGUGUGUUUAUAUGUAUACACAUAUAUUUUAAGAUACUGUAUGUUUAGUAUGCACACCCAUAACCAGAGGGUAUAUAUUAAAAGCUGUGUACUAUUAUUUCAUGGUCAAUUGCUUAUCUGAAGGCUGUACACAUACUGGCAUACAGCUACAACUGUGAGUCCUUUAAAAAUAAUGCACCAAGACUGAAUUCCAUAUCAAUAACAGCCACAUGUCCCUCAAAAUAUCCAUUCUAGGUCUCAGGGGAAAACGGUCCCUUAUUUAAUCAAACAUAACUUUUCUUGGGAAGAUUCAACUUUGUCUUAGCCAUUUUCUUUGUCAAAUAGCUAUGACUUCUCUCUUUUGAUAUGUUGAACUCAGUUUUCCUUUUAUCUUGGUUAGAGUAGCGUAUCUCUGGUUCUUUAUUUUUUGAAGUCAGUAAUGAUAUGUAUCCCUUCUUGUUGGUUUGCCUUCACAAUGCCUCUUUUGCCUAUACAUACCUGUAAAAGAGAACUAGACUCUGCUCAGGAAGACAACAUUUACUUCUUGCGAAGAAAUCAAAUACAAAAACAAAAAGUAAUUUACAAUAGAGAUCCUUUGUAUUAUAAUAGAUAGACUUAACAUAUUAUACAUGUAAAGUAGUAGUUAGAAAUUUGAGUUUAAUAAAAGGCUGUUAGAUUGCAAAAGUACUGCCUUGCAUUCAUCAGAGAAUGAAAGUUACAGGAAUAGAUGUCUGUGUGUGUACACAGAUACGUGCAUGUGUAUGUGUGUGUGCAUGUAUGUUUUACCUGAUGUCACAUGUUCAAAUUCCAUUACCUUUUUUUCUUGCCUGAGGUAUAAGGGAAGAUUGGGAGUAGAGAGAUUUAGCGGAAGCUCAUUGGCAACAAAACAAUAUUGCCCUGCACUUCUAUCCAGGCUCUAAUCAGAAGACAUUCCUGCUGCAGAGAAGUAGAGAGGAGGGCUGGUGGGAACUCAGGGCUUAGAUGGGGAAGGAGGAGAAAAGAGUGACAGGCCUUUUUUCUUGUGAUGUCUUUCAUAUAUUUUUUCUAGUUGGUGGGACUUCUGAGCCUUUUGAUGGAUGCCCUAUUGGCACUGCUGGAACAGUCUCCCAUUUACUUACUGCUAGGGGAAAUUUGGCCUUUCUCAGCAAAUCAAAUAAAUGCCACCUAAUUUGUUACCAAACCAGAAAAUUAUUUAUUAUUUCUCCCAAAGGAUACAUGAGCUGUAUUCAAUACUGGUGUGAGAAUUCACAAAACAAAAGGGUGAAAGGAGACCCAAAUAGAGUACGCAAAUGCAAGUCAUAAAUAAAAAUUAUCUGAGCGUUAUUAAUUGUAUGUGCAGUGCAUGCACACACACACUCACACCACACACUGGCUAAGAAAUUCCCUUUGGUCUCAUCUGAAACCAGAGAUGACCAAGGAGCCAGAGCCUUAGGAUUAGCUGGGGCUGCAGGGAGAGGUGGACAGUGUUCACACACAAAUGAGUGCCUUGCCUCAGGGCUCACACAGUUGGAGAGAGCUGAUGCCGAGACAGAAAUUCAUUUCCCAUGAGGAAGGGGAGAAGUGUGCAGGGAGCUCAGGGUCACACCAGAACAGGUGAUAAUGAAAUUAGAGUUAAUGAAGGCUGGAAGAAACUAAGGCCAGAUGGGUUGGUGAAACUGUUAUCUGAGAUGCAUGAAAACCAGACACAGCAUUGCAGCGUGAGAGAAAACAAUGGUUGGAGGCACACAAUGGAAAAUGCCUGGGAAAUAUAAGAAUCCUAUCCUACUCUCUGAAGCAGGUCAUCUCUUGGCUUCUAUGUUGCAGUAUUUUUUUUAAAAGGUUUGUUUCUUUAUUUGAAAUGCAGCAUGACAGAGAGGGUGAGGAGAGAGAGAGAAAGGAGAGGCCCAUCAUCUGCUGGUUCACUUCCCAAAUGUCCCUAGUUGCCAGGUCUGAUAUUGGGCCAGGUCGAAACCAGGAGCCAGGAACUCCAUCUGUCUCCUACAUGGGUAACAGGAGUCCAAGUAUUUGGGUAACCUUCUCCUGCCUUCCCAGGAGCAUUGCAGGGAGCUGGAUUGGGAAGUGGAGCAGCUGGGACUUGAACCAGUGCUUGAUAUGGGAUGCUGGUGUUCAGGCUGUGACUUCAACCACUGGGCUAGGAGUUGGAGUAUGUGAUGAGGGAAAGAUGCAUAAUGCCUGUGGGUCUGUUUCCUCUCUGGGAUAAUGGAGGCAAUGCCUACCUUAUUUUCUUGAGAAGACUAAAUAAGGUACUGUUUGUAGGACUCAUAAUGAAGGCAAACAUAGUUGAUAUUGAAUACAUGGUAACAUCAUUGUAUUUCUUUAUGAGCAAUAAGGCCAUUCUUAUUUAUAUGACAAUAAAGGCAAUCUAAUUUGUCUAUGCCUGUAGUUGUGGGCUCUCUAGAACACUAAGAGUGAAAAUGCCACACCAGAAAUGAGAAAUGAGACAUUAGUAUAUCUUGCUGUUCUUAGUAGGUUUUUAUACCUGCAGUAUAUUAUGAAAGAUAGGGAUUUUGUCAGAGGGAGGCAAUAAAUGAAGUGAUACAGAGGUAACCCACAGGAAAGUGUUGAAAUACAGCAUUUAUGCCAUAGCAAGGAUCAAUGCUGCUCCUAUAAUGAAGUGUAUCUUGAACUUGAUACAGGUAUAGAUUGAGACAGCUAAGGCAGGUGUUUCCUCCCAAAGCACCCUAUGCACAAUGCCAGCCUAUUU